AUCCACCAGAGGAGGAGCCUCAGACCAGGAAUGAGUUAUAGCAGUCAGCAAAUACACAAUGUGUCUAAAAGUCAACCUUAAUGUAAAAUCAAAUAAAAAAAAUAUUUAAGUUUAUUAUUACUUUGUUUAAAACCAUGCACAUGUUUAAUUGCUACAGCAGAUGCAGUUCUUUCACAUUAAUAAAAUAUUUAAAUUCUUUUUUGAGAAAAUUCUUCUAAUUUCAAUUUCCUUUGAAUAAACAAACCACUACACUUAAAAAUGCUUUCAUUAAUGCUAAGACCACAUUGAAGUGUAACAGUGUGUUGGUUCAGGAGCCACUCCCUCUUUGAUGCAAAUCUUCCCUCUGUACAGUUACUUCUGUCCCGUGUGGAGCCUCAGACUCACAUCUUCAGCCUCACAGCAAUGAAGACUCUCACUGUUCUGCUGGCUGCUCUCUGUCUGUCCUGUUGUUCAGGUCAGAGCAUGGAGUCCAUUCCUUCCACUGCAGUAGUGAAGAAGCCUGGAGAGACCCUCAGUCUGUCCUGCAGAGGAUCUGGGUUCACAUUUGGGAGCUUCCAUAUGCACUGGAUCAGACAACCUGCGGGAAAAGGCCUGGAAUGGAUGGGGGUUCGCUGGACUGAUAGCAGCACCAGCUAUGCCAGCAACGUUCAAGGACGGGUAGAAAUAACCAGAGACAACAGCAACAGCAUGACGUAUCUGAAACUGUCCAACCUGAGGCCAGAGGACUCUGCUGUUUAUUACUGUGCCAAAGACACACAGUGACUCAAAGCAUCAGUGGAGCUGAACAAAAACCCUCAGAGCCAAACAUUAGUAGCAUGGAUCCACCAGAGGAGGAGCCUCAGACCAGGAAUGAUGCAGUAUUAACAUCAUCUUUAAAGAGACAAUAUCUACAG